rnacentral:rRNA from 1 species
CCUACGGGAGGCAGCAGUGAGGAAUAUUGGUCAAUGGACGAGAGUCUGAACCAGCCAAGUAGCGUGAAGGAUGACUGCCCUAUGGGUUGUAAACUUCUUUUAUAUGGGAAUAAAAUGUUCCACGUGUGGGAUUUUGUAUGUACCAUAUGAAUAAGGAUCGGCUAACUCCGUGCCAGCAGCCGCGGUAAUACGGAGGAUCCGAGCGUUAUCCGGAUUUAUUGGGGUUAAAGGGAGCGUAGGUGGAUUGUUAAGUCAGUUGUGAAAGUUGGGGGCUCAACCGUAAAAUUGCAGUUGAAACUGGCAGUCUUGAGUACAGUAGAGGUGGGCGGAAUUCGUGGUGUAGCGGUGAAAUGCUUAGAUAUCACGAAGAACUCCGAUUGCGAAGGCAGUUCACUGGACUGCAACUGACGCUGAGGCUCGAAAGUGUGGGUAUCAAACAGGAUUAGAUACCCGUGUAGUC